UACGGGGGGGGGCAAGCGUUGUUCGGAAUUACUGGGCGUAAAGGGCUCGUAGGCGGCCAACUAAGUCAGACGUGAAAUCCCCUCGGCUUAACCGGGGAACUGCGUCUGAUACUGGAUGGCUAGAGUUUGGGGAGAGGGAUGCGGAAUUCCAGGUGUAGCGGUGAAAAUGCGUAGAUAUCUGGAGGAACACCGGUGGCGAAGGCGGCAUCCUGGACCAACACUGACGCUGAGGAGCGAAAGCCAGGG
rnacentral:rRNA from 1 species